AUGAUUUUGGGGAAAGUUCCUGGUGGUCCUAUCUCGGAUCAGUUCCUUUGCUUUCCUGCUAACCUUCUUUUCCUUCUUCAUCAGCAAUUGGAUGUUAAUCUGCUAUGGGAAGCGGUGGUGCAUCAAGGUGCAAGGCAGCAACGACAUGUUCAUAGUACGCUAAAGGAUGAACUCCUACUUUUUCUGAUGCUAGCUCCUUGCUGCAGAUAUACCAGCCUGCUUACAUCUCCCAAGAUAUCCUCUUGGUCAAGGCAAUUGCACAUGAUGAAGCCACUCAUUUUAGUUGUAGGAUAUGAAUUGUGCUUAAACAUGAGUGCUCGCUCGCCGAACGUUGGCCCUCGGAUGAAUUCGACGCUUGAAUUGAGCUGA
rnacentral:rRNA from 1 species